rnacentral:rRNA from 1 species
AACGAACGCUGGCGGCAUGCCUAACACAUGCAAGUCGAACGAGACCUUCGGGUCUAGUGGCGCACGGGUGCGUAACGCGUGGGAAUCUGCCCUUGGGUUCGGAAUAACUCGCCGAAAGGCGUGCUAAUACCGGAUGAUGUCGUAAGACCAAAGAUUUAUCGCCCAGGGAUGAGCCCGCGUAAGAUUAGGUAGUUGGUGGGAUAAAAGCUUACCAAGCCGACGAUCUGUAGCUGGUCUGAGAGGACGACCAGCCACACUGGGACUGAGACACGGCCCAG